CGUGGGGUCUAUUUCCCCUGGGAAUACCCCAGUUUUCGUGGGAGUUUACCGUGGGGUCUAUUUCCCCUGGGAAUACCCCAGUUAUCGUGGGAGUUUACCGUGGGGUCUAUUUCCUCUGGGAAUACCCCAGUUAUUGUGGGAGUUCACAGUGGGGUCUAUUUCCCCUGGGAAUACCCCAGUUAUCGUGGGAGUCCACAGUGGGGUCUAUUUCCCCUGGGAAUACCCCAGUUAUCGUGGGAGUCCACAGUGGGGUGUAUUUCCCCUGGGAAUACCCCAGUUAUCGUGGGAGUUUACCGUGGGGUGUAUUUCCCCUGGGAAUACCCCAGUUAUCGUGGGUUCUGCCCUCUGUUAUCGUAGAUAAGAGCUGAUGGGAUGGAGCUCCUACCAUUCCCUGGAGAUGCCCUGUUUAAAAGCCAGGUACAGAACCUGUCUGGGCUGCCCCUGGUGUCUUUGCCUCUCUCUCUCCUUUCUGCUCCCAUCCUUUCCCUCCAUCUCUCCUUAUCCUCCCCACCUCCCUUCUACCGCUGGCGCCCUGCCCCUCCUGAAAACACUGCGUAUGGAUAAAGGAGAGCUUCCAUGGCGGAACGCUGUUUAACCCGCUCCCCCGACUGUCUUGACAGUGCUGCCAGCUGAGAGAGGCCAGAAGAGAGGCAUCACUGGCACAAUCACCAGUCUGGCCUCAUACCCAGUGCACUCUGUGGGAGCUCUGGCUCAGAGAGUAAAAGGAUGGUUCCCUGAUAUUCCAAAGGCUUUUCUUUGAUGUCUAAGCACGUUGAGGCUCAGUGGAUGACUCAGUAACUGCAGGGCUGCUGGCUAUCAAUAGGAGUACAGUAUUUGCUGUUGUUUCCUUUUCCAUGGACUCGGACAAUGCUACUUUAUUUCUUAAUUGACUUGAUGUGCAAUUGUGGGUAUGGAGGAGGAGAGGCCACAUGAUAUCACCUGAUGUUCUCUGAGGCACCGAUAUGGGUUCAUAAGUGAACCAAAUAAUUCUUCUAAUUUUGUGAAAAUCCACUUGUGUUUGAGGUCCCCAUUCUCGAUUUCUUUACCUCACUGAAUUUAAUUCCCUGACUGUCAUUGUCAGAUUUGACCUUGUGUCUUUACUUGUCCAUUCACAUAAACACACUGCCAUUCCCUGUUUGUCCUGUUGAAACUGAUUUUCAAGUUGGGAUUGGUGGGAGACUCCAAUGGUAUAGGUUGGGUGUCUGAACCAUCCUCCUGUUGGUGAGCACCAACCAGUCACUGUUCCUACAGCUGCGACUCUCUUACACAAUGUCAUUGCACUUGGUCCAAAUCAGUCACGGUUCAGGGCUCACCAUAUUGGAAGUGGGCUUUCCUGGAUGGUGAGGAAUGGGAAUAAGGUCAAGAAUCUUGUUCCCUCUUGUACC